AAGUCGUAACAAGGUUUCCGUAGGUGAACCUGCGGAAGGAUCAUUAUUGAAAUAAACCUGAUGGGGUUGUUGCUGGUUCUCCAGGGAGCAUGUGCACGCCUUGUCAUCUUUAUAUCUCCACCUGUGCACCUUUUGUAGACCUUUCCAGGUCUAUGUUGCUUCAUUUGCCCCCACCAAUGUAUGUCAAUAGAAUGUUUGUGAAUGUGAAAUAUAUACAACUUUCAGCAACGGAUCUCUUGGCUCUC
rnacentral:misc_RNA from 1 species